rfam:Acetobacterium woodii DSM 1030, complete genome.
CCAAUCAUUCCGUUGGUUGAGCCUAGUAUCACCUGCAUUGUUAGUAAUGACAUUGUUGGGAAGCUGAUAUGAAAAAGUAACCCUCUAUAAGGUUGAACCGUGAGGGAAUACCGAUACUGCUAGCAACAAAGCAGUUAGGGAG